UGAGGAAUAUUGCACAAUGGGCGAAAGCCUGAUGCAGCAACGCCGCGUGAGGGACGAAGGCCUUCGGGUCGUAAACCUCUUUUCUGGGGGAAGAGACAAGGACGGUACCUCAGGAAUAAGUCUCGGCUAACUACGUGCCAGCAGCCGCGGUAAAACGUAGGGGGCGAGCGUUAUCCGGAUUUACUGGGCGUAAAGCGCACGCAGGCGGCUUCGUUAGUCGGACGUGAAAGCUCCUGGCUUAACUGGGAGAGGCCGUUCGAUACUGCGAGGCUUGAGGUUGGGAGAGGGGUGCGGAAUUCCCGGUGUAGUGGUGGAAUGCGUAGAUAUCGGGAGGAACACCAGUGGCGAAGGCGGCACCCUGGCCCACACCUGACGCUGAGGUGCGAAAGCGUGGGUAGCAAACAGGAUUAGAUACCCUGGUAGUCCACGCCGUAAACGAUGUCAACUAGGUGUUGGUAGUGUUACACUAUCAGUGCCGUAGCUAACGCGUUAAGUUGACCGCCUGGGGACUACGGCCGCAAGGCUA
rnacentral:rRNA from 1 species